UGAAGAUUUCAGUGGGCCUUCAAAAUGC
rnacentral:piRNA from 1 species